UGUCCAGUUCCUUGUUUUGGUCAGUAAAUGCCAUGGGUGCCGUGGGUGGGAGGCUGCUGCCUGCCAUCUGGGACUCUCUAGAGACAGGGUGAGUGAUGGCAGUGACACCACCUAAAACCACAGGCAAUUAUGAAUUUUAGGGAUGGCUAAAGUUGAUGGGGAUGGCUUGGUGUGACGGUGUGGUGUAAAGCAGAUGAUGGCUCUGGGAACACCCAAAUUCCCUGCACUAGGAAAGGGCCCUAAAUUUUGUUGCUUGUCUGGCAUCUCAUCCAUACACAUGGGGGCAGCUGCGGUACUGCCUCCCCAUUGCUCAGCGAUUGGGGAACUUGGGGUGGAGAGGUCCCUGGAGAGGUGUGAAACCUCACCUGACACCCCUAAGCAGCCUCCCCAAAAAUACAGGCUGGCUGGGGGAGCAGGCAGCAGAGAAAAGCUGCCAUAUCCUGCAAGCUUCUUAAUUUCAUCAGCUGCACAGGGCUGCUUUGCCAUGCAUCCCCCCUGCACGGGAUCAGGUGGUAUUGGAGACUUGAUCCUCGGGAAGGGCUGGGGGAAUGUCUUAUGGUGCGAAACCAGGGGAGCUCAGCCUGUUUAGCUUAUUAAAAAGAAGAUCAAGAGGUGACUUAAUUGUGCUGUGUGAGGUACCUUCAUGGGGAGAGAAAGGCAGGUAUUAAAAGACUGUUUAAUCUAGAGGAGAAAGGCAUCGCAUGAGCUCACGCCUGGAAGCUGAAGCCAGACAAAUUCAAAUUGUGAAUCAAACAGACCUUUUAAAAAGCGAGUGUUAAUAAAGAUUAAACUACCCAGGAGAGCAGCGCAUUCCCUUGCCUUUGAUAUAUUUAGACCCAGACAGGACGCAUUUCUGCCCCAUACACUUGAGCCAGGCAGGAGUUACUGGGCUUGGUACAGGAGUAAUUGGAUGCCAAACUCAGCCCUACAUCAGGGAAGGUCAGGCAAGAUGAUCUAAUGGUCUCUGCUGGCUGUCAGUGCUCCCAUGCCUGGCAUCUGUGAUUUGUGUGCCUGUGGCCAGCUGGCUGGCAGGGAUGUGGCUCUACCAAGAAAAAUCUGUGGGGAAACACAAGGAACAUGGUAUUAUGUCAGAAGGGACAACAAGGAGACAAGUGAACACUGACACCUGUGGGGAGAGUCAAAAUAUUAGAAAGGAAAGGCUUUUAGCCAGAAAAAGUCUUUUUAUUUUAAAAACAGAUUAACUCUGUGGACAUUAGCAGACAUGUAAAUUUUUUGUGCUUAUCUACCCCUAAUUUUUCUCAUAAUUCAUUGAAAAUAAAAUCACCCCUCAAGUUUUAUGUUGACCACAAAAUCAAGGUUUCAGUAGGAAAACCUCAUUUAGGGAAAAACAAAGACGAGUCAUAUCCCAAUUUCAUGUAAGUAGGGUACAGUGAAACAAUGCCUGAAAACCUCAGUGAGACCCAAGAGUGACUCAGGAACCACUGCUCACUUGACAGUGUUGAAGUAUGUUGUGAACUUAUUUUCCUCUUUAUUUUUAUCAUCCACUCCUGAGGGCUGGCUGGUAAGUAUGGCUGCAGAGAGGAGCUGCUGUGGGAUGUCCCUCAUUGUUUUUUAAUAUUAUUGUGAUUCAGCAGAGCUCAGCUCCUACUCAGUGCCCUGCGUCACUGUUCCAGCCCUGUUGGAUGGCAUGCCCAGGGCAGGAUUCUGAGAUGUAGCACAAAAGUGUGGGGUGAUGCACUGAGCCUCAGAUGCUCCCAGGCUGAGCAAUGGGCUCCUUCAGCAAAGGAUGGAGCCUGCAGGGGGCUCUUGAUGAGAAGUUGUUGUUCAAGGUGCUUUUCAUAAUAUUUAAAAAAUGUGUUUGCUUCCUCUUGCAAAUGUUCAAACAUCUUUAAAGUGUCUGUGGUGCCAAGCUGCUUCUCGCCCUGUUUUAAGAGAAAUAAGCUUUCUUUAUGGAAAAGGAGCCACAAAAAGCGCAGCAAGCCCAAAGUUAACAGUGAGCAGACCGAAACUAAAUUAACACCAGCAAGAUUUCAGCUGCCCCUCCAAAAUAUUGUGUCUCACGGCAAAGGGUCUGGGAAAAGAUGGGAGAACAGAUUGCUUUAGCGCAUCUUCAUGGUGUCUCUGCGGCACAGAUGAAGCUCAGGCUGGGUCUCCUUCCCCUUGCCAAGCCUGCAAUGGGGACUCACAGCCCCUAAAAGUGGACAGUCGGAGGCACAGGCUCGACAGUGCCAUGAAAACCCAUGGGUGCAGCACCACAAGGGGAUGCAACUCGGGACACUGUAGCCAGAUAGUUUAGAGAAGCAUCACCUGCAAAAUCAAAUCAUGAGCCCAAAACAGGAGCAGUGAACAGGAGGCAAGGGACAGGGAGGGAGAGCCUUGCCUUCUCCACUGUCAUAAAGGUGGAGGCGAGAGAAUGGGAGUGUUAGCCAUUGGCCAUGGUGUCACAACUCCGUGAGGAUUAUGUUGGCCAGCUUCCGUGAUGAAAAUAGGCAGCUAACAAUGUCAGCUCCAGCAGAUGUCAGCUCCAGCAGAUGUCAGCUCCAGCCUCACCCCCCCCAGUUACCGUGAGUGAUGCACCAGGUGCUGGGAGCCUUCUUCUCCAUGCUGGGAGCCUUCUUCUCACACUUCAUGCAGACUGCAACUUCUUCGUGUGGAUGCAGGGAGAGAGACUUUUGCUCUCCAAAACUUUUCACGCCCUAAGUUAAUAAAACUUCUCCACUGAAAGGGAUGGAUGUGACACUGUGCUGAGGAUUUCAUGGCCGAGCGCUGGAUUAUUGCUGUGGUGUAAAGGGCUCCCCAGCCUUGGGCUGUGCUGAGCAGACAAAGUAAGGCUGAAAGGACACAGCAGGGAUCCAGCAGUGGUGGCACUGGCUGCAGGAGUCAGCGCUUGAGGGUUCACCAACAACUCUCAUGGCCUGGUCCAUGGAAACAGGACAGGGAUAUGCCUGGAUACCAGCACCUGCACCCUGAGGGAAUUGUGAUCAGCAAACCUAAUCUAUUUGCAGAGGAGGAUGCAAUGAAUUGAAUGCACUGAUGACUUCCCCCUACCACCCCCCACCCCCCCGUUAAAGUUACAAUCAAACACAGUUUUCCGUAGAACAGUAAAGCACCCGGCAGAGGUAAGUGAGGUAUUGGCUGUGCAGCAUUUUCGGCCUUCUCCCACCUGGCAAGCGCACACGUGGGCCCUGCCCCAUCUGCAAGGGGCAGGUGGGACACGCAGGGUGGGCGCUUCGCUGGGCCCGUGCCACCUUAGUGCCAAGAUCAGCAGUACUCUCCUGCCCCAGAUCAAGAGAUACAUUAACACGAGUCAGUCCCACAGAAUAAGUCACAUACACGAUACAUACAGAGAAUUCACGUGCGUGUGCAAACACACUAUUUCUGAAUAUAUGUAUAUAUGAACUCUUCUCUCUGUACGCCUACUAGACACCAUAACAUCACCUUUUUAAUUAUAUAUUUUCACCUAUUGUUUGCCUAAGUUGGCUUUUCUAGUGUAUGGUCCUUUUCCAUUCAUCCUUCCCCUCUCCUGUGAUGUGAAGGGGAUAAAAUCAUUGAGCAGCAGCAAUCCAGCUUUGAAAUGGUCUGGUACAUUUCCUCUCACUGCCUCUGUUUCUUUUGUACAGUAAAAUAACACCCCUGUGGAAUUUGUCUGCGAAGAAUGCCAAAAGAAAUAAGGUGAUUCAAAAGGAGAAUCAGAGAUACAUUUACUGUUUCUGUCGGGUGCACAGUGUGAAUUAAAAAACCAAAGGCCUUUGUGUG